UACAGAGGGGGCAAGCGUUGUUCGGAAUUACUGGGCGUAAAGCGUGCGCAGGCGGUUUGCUAAGACAGGUGUGAAAUCCCCGGGCUCAACCUGGGAAUUGCAUUUGUGACUGCACGGCUAGAGUGUGUCAGAGGGGGGUAGAAUUCCACGUGUAGCAGUGAAAUGCGUAGAGAUGUGGAGGAAUACCGAUGGCGAAGGCAGCCCCCUGGGAUAACACUGACGCCUCAUGCACGAAAGCGUGGGGAGCAAACAGG
rnacentral:rRNA from 1 species